rnacentral:rRNA from 1 species
UACGUAGGGGGCAAGCGUUGUCCGGAAUCAUUGGGCGUAAAGCGCGUGUAGGCGGUUCGGUAAGUCGGCUGUGAAAGUCCAGGGCUCAACCCUGGGAUGCCGGUCGAUACUGCCGGACUAGAGUUCGGAAGAGGCGAGUGGAAUUCCCGGGUGUAGCGGUGGAAUGCGCAGAUAUCAGGAAGAACACCCGUGGCGAAGGCGGCUCUCUGGGACGGUACUGACGCUGAUGCGCGAAAGGCGUGGGGAGCAAACGGG